rnacentral:misc_RNA from 1 species
AGAAAAGGGGUUCUUGGCAAAUCCCAGAAAUCGUCCUAAUCUGAGGAUAAGUCGGAGAAAUGAUUCAACUCAGCUGUAAUGGUGCUGAAUUAUUGAGCUUUUUUAACUGACGUGUAGUGGCUUCAUUAGUUUGAACAAGUGCGGUGGCAUACAGGGAAUAUAUAAUAAUUUCCCCACAAUCAGAACUUGCUGCGCAUGAACAUUAAGAUUCAGACAUUUCUUCAGACAAUCGAGUCAAAGAAAUUCACUUCAAAAGUUCCAUUAGUUGAGAGACGAUCAUCUGGAGCAGGAACUAGCAAUGGCCAUUAUUUCUCAGUUUCAUUGGUUGGGUUUUCUAUGGGAAUUAUUCUCCGAAAAUUCCCAAGAAGAACACCAAUGUUCUCCACAACAAAAACACACUCCAAAAGGGUGUCCCAAUCCGCUGCCUUGCAUAUCUCAACAAGCCUGAGAUUCCAGU